CAAAGUGCUGUUUGUGCAGGUAGCUAACCUGAGAGCCUACUGCAAAACCAGCACUUCCCGA
rnacentral:pre_miRNA from 1 species